GAUGAACGCUAGCGGGAGGCCUAACACAUGCAAGCCGAGCGGUAUUGUUUCUUCGGAAAUGAGAGAGCGGCGUACGGGUGCGGAACACGUGUGCAACCUGCCUUUAUCUGGGGGAUAGCCUUUCGAAAGGAAGAUUAAUACUCCAUAAUAUAUUGAACGGCAUCGUUUAAUAUUGAAAGCUCCGGCGGAUAGAGAUGGGCACGCGCAAGAUUAGCUAGUUGGUGAGGUAACGGCUCACCAAGGCGAUGAUCUUUAGGGGGCCUGAGAGGGUGAUCCCCCACACUGGUACUGAGACACGGACCAGACUCCUACGGGAGGCAGCAGUGAGGAAUAUUGGUCAAUGGGUGCAAGCCUGAACCAGCCAUCCCGCGUGAAGGACGACUGCCCUAUGGGUUGUAAACUUCUUUUGUAUAGGGAUAAACCUACCCUCGUGAGGGUAGCUGAAGGUACUAUACGAAUAAGCACCGGCUAACUCCGUGCCAGCAGCCGCGGUAAUACGGAGGGUGCAAGCGUUAUCCGGAUUUAUUGGGUUUAAAGGGUCCGUAGGCGGACUUAUAAGUCAGUGGUGAAAGCCUGUCGCUUAACGAUAGAACUGCCAUUGAUACUGUAAGUCUUGAGUAUAUUUGAGGUAGCUGGAAUAAGUAGUGUAGCGGUGAAAUGCAUAGAUAUUACUUAGAACACCAAUUGCGAAGGCAGGUUACCAAGAUAUAACUGACGCUGAGGGUCGAAAGCGUGGGGAGCGAACAGGAUUAGAUACCCUGGUAGUCCACGCCGUAAACGAUGCUAACUCGUUUUUGGGCUUUAGGGUUCAGAGACCAAGCGAAAGUGAUAAGUUAGCCACCUGGGGAGUACGCUCGCAAGAGUGAAACUCAAAGGAAUUGACGGGGGCCCGCACAAGCGGUGGAUUAUGUGGUUUAAUUCGAUGAUACGCGAGGAACCUUACCAAGGCUUAAAUGGGAAUUGACAGCUUUAGAAAUAGAGCUUUCUUCGGACAAUUUUCAAGGUGCUGCAUGGUUGUCGUCAGCUCGUGCCGUGAGGUGUUAGGUUAAGUCCUGCAACGAGCGCAACCCCUGUCACUAGUUGCCAUCAUUCAGUUGGGGACUCUAGUGAGACUGCCUACGCAAGUAGAGAGGAAGGUGGGGAUGACGUCAAAUCAUCACGGCCCUUACGUCUUGGGCCACACACGUAAUACAAUGGCCGGUACAGAGGGCAGCUACACAGCGAUGUGAUGCAAAUCUCGAAAGCCGGUCUCAGUUCGGAUUGGAGUCUGCAACUCGACUCUAUGAAGCUGGAAUCGCUAGUAAUCGCGCAUCAGCCAUGGCGCGGUGAAUACGUUCCCGGGCCU
rnacentral:rRNA from 1 species